GAUCCUGGCUCAGGAUGAACGCUGGCGGCGUGCUUAACACAUGCAAGUCGAACGAAUCACUUAAAUUUGAUUCUUCGGAUGAAGAUUUUUGUGACUGAGUGGCGGACGGGUGAGUAACGCGUGGGUAACCUGCCUCAUACAGGGGGAUAACAGUUAGAAAUGACUGCUAAUACCGCAUAAGCGCACAGGGUCGCAUGACCUGGUGUGAAAAACUCCGGUGGUAUGAGAUGGACCCGCGU
rnacentral:rRNA from 1 species